CCUACGGGAGGCAGCAGUGGGGAAUAUUGCGCAAUGGGCGAAAGCCUGACGCAGCGACGCCGCGUGAGGGAUGAAGGUCUUCGGAUCGUAAACCUCUGUCAGCAGGGAAGAACGGUCACUGUGCUAAUCAGCAGUGAAUUGACGGUACCUGCAAAGGAAGCACCGGCUAACUCCGUGCCAGCAGCCGCGGUAAUACGGAGGGUGCGAGCGUUAAUCGGAAUUACUGGGCGUAAAGCGCUCGUAGGCGGUAUGUCAAGUCAAGGGUGAAAUCCCCGCCCUCAACGUGGGAACUGCCUUUGAAAACGGGAAACCGGGGUGUGGGAGAGGAGAGUGGAAGUCCAGGGGGAGGAGGUAAAACCGU
rnacentral:rRNA from 1 species